GACGAACCGUGCGAACGUUGUUCGGAAUCACUGGGCUUAAAGGGCGCGUAGGCGGAUCAUCAAGUCAGGGGUGAAAUCCCACGGCUCAACCGUGGAAGUGCCUUUGAUACUGGUGGUCUGGAGUGGGGUAGGGGCAUGGCGGAACUGGUGGUGGAGCGGUGAAAUGCGUAGAUAUCACUAGGAACGCCGGUGGCGAAAGCGGCGUGCUGGACCCCAACUGACGCUGAGGCGCGAAAGCCAGGGGAGCAAACGGG
rnacentral:rRNA from 1 species